rnacentral:ncRNA from 1 species
AUUUCGGUCGCCCGAAGGGGCGUGAAAAGGGAAGCCGGUGAGAGUCCGGCGCAGUCCCGCUGCUGUAAGCUCGAGAGUUGAGACCCAAUGUGUUAAGCCACUGUGUGCCGCCACAGGCGCAUGGGAAGGCAUGGGUCGGAAGAGCAAGCCAGAAGACCUGCCAAAAUCAUUA